rnacentral:rRNA from 1 species
UGCGACAGGUGCUGCAUGGCUGUCGUCAGCUCGUGUCGUGAGAUGUUGGGUUAAGUCCCGCAACCGAGCGCAACCCUUAUCCCUAGUUGCCAUCAGGUAAAGCUGGGAACUCUGGGGAGACUGCCGGUGAUAAACCGGAGGAAGGCGGGGAUGACGUCAAGUCCUCAUGGCCCUUACAUCCCGGGCUACACACGUGCUACAAUGGCAGGUACAGAGGCUGCGAAGCCGCGAGGUGGAGCCGAAAUCCCAGAAAACCUGUCUCAGUCCGGAUUGAAGUCUGCAACUCGACUUCAUGAAGGCGGAAUCGCUAGUAACCGCGAAUCAGCAGGUCGCGGUGAAUACGUUCCCGGGCCUU